rnacentral:SRP_RNA from 1 species
GCCAGGUGCAGUGGCGUGUGCCUGUAGUCCCAGCUACUCAGGAGGCUGAGGUGGGAGGAUCGCUUGAGCCCAGGAGUUCUGGGCUGUAGUGCGCUAUGCCGAUCGGGUGUCUGCACUACGUUUGGCAUCAAUAUGGUGACCUCCCAGGAGCGGGGAACCACCAGGUUGCCUAAGGAGGGGUGAACCGGCCCAGGUCGGAAACGGAGCAGGUGAAAACUCCCGUGCUGAUUAGUGGUGGGAUCGUGCCUGUGAAUAGCCACUGCACUCCAGCCUGGGCAACAUAGCAAGACCCCAUCUCU